AGCAGCCGCGGUAAUUCCAGCUCCAAUAGCGUAUAUUAAAGUUGUUGCAGUUAAAAAGCUCGUAGUUGAAUUUCGGGGUCAGUAGGUUGGUCGUGCCACUGGUAUGUACUGGCCUCACUGAUUCCUCCUUCCUGAUGAACCGUAAUGCCAUUAAUUUGGUGUUGCGGGGAAUCUGGACUGUUACUUUGAAAAAAUUGAGUGUUUAAAGCAGGCUAACGCUUGAAUACAUUAGCAUGGAAUAAUGGAAUAGGACGUUCGAUCCUAUUUUGUUGGUUUCUAGGAUUGACGUAAUGAUUAAUAGGGAUAGUUGGGGGCAUUAGUAUUCAAUUGUCAGAGGUGAAAUUCUUGGAUUUAUUGAAGACUAACUACUGCGAAAAGCAUUUGCCAAGGAUGUUUUCAUUAAUCAAGAACGAAAGUUAGGGAUCGAAGACGAUCAGAUACCGUCGUAGU
rnacentral:rRNA from 1 species